rnacentral:rRNA from 1 species
AUUGAACGCUGGCGGCAGGCCUAACACAUGCAAGUCGAGCGGAUGAAGGGAGCUUGCUCCUGGAUUCAGCGGCGGACGGGUGAGUAAUGCCUAGGAAUCUGCCUGGUAGUGGGGGAUAACGUCCGGAAACGGGCGCUAAUACCGCAUACGUCCUGAGGGAGAAAGUGGGGGAUCUUCGGACCUCACGCUAUCAGAUGAGCCUAGGUCGGAUUAGCUAGUUGGUGGGGUAAAGGCCUACCAAGGCGACGAUCCGUAACUGGUCUGAGAGGAUGAUCAGUCACACUGGAACUGGGACACGGUCCAGACUCCUACGGGAGGCAGCAGUGGGGAAUAUUGGACGAUGGGCGAAAGCCUGAUCCAGCCAUGCCGCGUGUGUGAAGAAGGCCUUCGGAUUGUAAAGCACUUUAAGUUGGGAGGAAGGGCAGUAAGUUAAUACCUUGCUGUUUUGACGUUACCAACAGAAUAAGCACCGGCUAACUUCGUG